rnacentral:rRNA from 1 species
AACGAACGCUGGCGGCAGGCCUAACACAUGCAAGUCGAGCGCACCUUCGGGUGAGCGGCGGACGGGUUAGUAACGCGUGGGAAUAUGCCCUUCACUACGGAAUAGCCAUUGGAAACGAUGAGUAAUACCGUAUACGCCCUUCGGGGGAAAGAUUUAUCGGUGAAGGAUUAGCCCGCGUCUGAUUAGAUAGUUGGUGGGGUAAUGGCCUACCAAGUCUACGAUCAGUAGCUGGUUUGAGAGGAUGAUCAGCAACACUGGGACUGAGACACGGCCCAGACUCCUACGGGAGGCAGCAGUGGGGAAUCUUAGACAAUGGGCGCAAGCCUGAUCUAGCCAUGCCGCGUGAGUGACGAAGGCCUUAGGGUCGUAAAGCUCUUUCGCCAGGGAUGAUAAUGACAGUA